UAUAAGGAGGCAAUUGAAGAUUUUAAAUACGCCCUGGUGCUUGAGCCAACUAAUAAAAGAGCUGCCCUUUCUGCUGAAAGAUUAAGAAAGUUGUUUGUGUAGAAGAUUGAAGAAUGCGUCUGUCUAGGAAUGGCGAAGUAUACAAUUUAUCAUUUUUUAUGAAAGCCUUAUAUCAAUCUCUGUUCAGCAGACGGCAUUAUUCAACAUUUUGAUGAUCGUUACUUCUCAAUCAUCUCACACAAAAAUUUCUUUAAGAGUGCUUCACAAGUAGAGACGGGAGAGUAAUCCUUCUUCAUGGAACGUAUGGAGGUCUGAAAUUAUUUUUGUUUGAUCCAGUAUUAGUUUUUAGCAUAUAUAACUGGGUAGUUAUCGCUAUUAUUAGAAUUUUGUAAGUAUGGUACAAUUUUGUUUGUUUUAAUAUCUUUAUGUAAGGGUUGUAAUUUUAGUUUUGAGAAGGAUUUGUCUACGUAUGAUCUUGUGUUGAUUAUGUAGCUUAUAAUUG
rnacentral:misc_RNA from 1 species